rnacentral:rRNA from 1 species
ACUCCUACGGGAGGCAGCAGUGGGAAUAUUGCACAAUGGGCGCAAGCCUGAUGCGCAGCCAUGCCGCGUGAUGUAGCAGAAUGGCCUUCGGUUGAUGAAGCACUUUCAGUUGUGAGGAAAGGUUAGUCGCUAAUAUCGGCUAGCUGUGACGUUAGCAACAGAAGAAGCACCGGCUAACUCCGUGCCAGCAGCCGCGGUAAUACGGAGGGUGCGAGCGUUAAUCGGAAUUACUGGGCGUAAAGCGCGUGUAGGUGGCUUGUUAAGCCAGAUGUGAAAGCCCCGGGCUCAACCUGGGAACUGCAUUUGGAACUGGCAGGCUAGAGUUUUGUAGAGGGUGGUAGAAUUUCAGGUGUAGCGGUGAAAUGCGUAGAGAUCUGAAGGAAUACCGGUGGCGAAGGCGACCACCUGGCCAAUAACUGACACUGAGACGCGAAGGCGUGGGUAGCAAACGGGAUUAGAUACCCUCGUAGGCUCUG